GACGAACGCUGGCGGCGUGCUUAACACAUGCAAGUCGAACGGAAAGGCCCUGCUUUUGUGGGGUGCUCGAUUGGCGAACGGGUGAGUAACACGUGAGUAACCUGCCCUUGACUUUGGGAUAACUUCAGGAAACUGGGGCUAAUACCGGAUAGGAGCUCCUGCUGCAUGUUGGGGGUUGGAAAGUUUCGGCGUUUGGGGAUGGACUCGCGGCUUAUCAGCUUGUUGGUGGGGUAGUGGACUACCAAGGCUUUGACGGGUAGCCGGCAUGAGAGGGUGACCGGCCACAUUGGGACUGAGAUACGGCCCAGACUCCUACGGGAGGCAGCAGUGGGGAAUAUUGCACAAUGGGCGGAAGCCUGAUGCAGCAACGCCGCGUGCGGGAUGACGGCCUUCGGGUUGUAAACCGCUUUCGCCUGUGACGAAGCGUGAGUGACGGUAAUGGGUAAAGAAGCACCGGCUAACUACGUG
rnacentral:rRNA from 1 species